rnacentral:rRNA from 1 species
AGUGAACGCUGGCGGCAUGCCUAACACAUGCAAGUCGAACGGCAGCACAGUAAGAGCUUGCUCUUCCGGGUGGCGAGUGGCGGACGGGUGAGGAAUACAUCCGAAUCUACUUUUUCGUGGGGGAUAACGUAGGUAAACUUACGCCAAUACCGCAUACGAUCUACGGGUGAAAGCAGGGGAUCUUCGGACCUUGCGCGAUUGAAUGAGCCGAUGUCGGAUUAGCUAGUUGGCGGGGUAAAGGCCCACCAAGGCGACGAUCCGUAGCUGGUCUGAGAGGAUGAUCAGCCACACGGGAACUGAGACACGGUCCAGACUCCUACGGGAGGCAGCAGUGGGGAAUAUUGGACAAUGGGCGCAAGCCUGAUCCAGCCAUACCGCGUGGGUGACGAAGGCCUUCGGGUUGUAAAGCCCUUUUGUUGGGAAAGAAAAGCAGCAGGUUAAUACGCAGCUGUACUGACGGUACCGAAAGAAUAAGCACCGGCUAACUACGUG